UUGACCGUCGGAUCAGG
rnacentral:rRNA from 1 species